CUUCGUCAAGAAGGGAAUUACAGUGAUCCCGCUCCUGACGUCGGUGCUGCAGGAUGAGAAGGAGUGGGAGACCCCCCACAGCUUCAACCCCGGCCACUUCCUGGAUGAGAAGGGCUGCUUCAUCAAGAGAGACGCCUUCAUGCCCUUCUCUGCAGGGCGACGGGCCUGUCUGGGAGAGAGUCUGU